rnacentral:rRNA from 1 species
UACGUAGGGGGCAAGCGUUGUCCGGAAUCAUUGGGCGUAAAGCGCGUGUAGGCGGCCCGGUAAGUCCGGUGUGAAAGUCCAGGGCUCAACUCUGGGAUGCCGGUGGAUACUGUCGGGCUCGAGUCCGGAAGAGGCGAGUGGAAUUCCUGGUGUAGCGGUGAAAUGCGCAGAUAUCAGGAGGAACACCGAUGGCGAAGGCAGCUCGCUGGGCCGUGACUGACGCUGAGGCGCGAAGGCGUGGGGAGCAAACAGG